AAUCUUUUAAUUCAAUUCAGUUCUUCCAAACGUACAAACUGUAUUAUGUAGAUUAAAACAGUCUCAAGGACUUGUACACUCAGUAGUCUUAAUUAAACCUAUCGUUCGGUUGGGUGUAAAAUGUGCGUGUUAUAUUUCUGUGUAUUUGCACUAUUUUAUAUCAACGUCACCGCACAUAUUAAUUCUUUAAAUGCAGUGUUAUUUAAUGGUGACUAUGAAUUUAUAGAUCUUAGCUAUCCUUUCGAUGCAAAUACGAUAUAUUGGCCUCAAGCACAAAAGUUUCAAUUUACGAAGCAAAUUAUAAACGAAGGCGUUAACUGGUACUCUUCUAAAGAAUUUGUUGCUUCCGAACAUGGAGGUACUCACUUGGAUGCACCAUAUCAUUUCUAUGAACAAGGAAACUUUGUGGGAAACAUUCCUCUUAAAGACUUAAUUGUUCCGCUUAUAAUUGCUGACGUUAGUUCCCUGGUUAACGAUGAUCCAAAUUUUGUACUUUAUAAACAUCAUUUAGAUUUUAUGAUUAAUGACAAUUUUGGUAAACCAUGUUUAAUUGUGUUCAAAUUUGGAUGGAGCAAGUUUGUAAAUGACAAACAAAAGUAUCUUGGACUGGGGCCUAACAAUACAUUAAAUUUCCCUGGCCUGAGUAGUGAAGUUAUGGAUUGGAUAACAACUUCAUACAAAAAUGUAGUUGGGGUUGGCGUUGAUACUUCUUCUGUAGAUCCUGGAGCAUCAAAAGAUCUUCCUGUACACAAAUUAGGAUCGAAAGCAGGGUUGUACAAUAUAGAAAAUGUUAAUUUAUCAAGACCUAUACCAGAAUAUGGUUGCACCGCUCUCGUUAUGCCAAUGAAAAUUGCCCAAGGUAGUGGAGCACCUGUUAGAUUUGUAGCGAUUUGUCCAAAACAAGUACAAACUGAAUUUUAAACGAUUUGAUUUAAUAUUACAUAUACUAUUAAUAAACACGUAAAUCAACUCCUAUAUGUCUUACAUGUGUUACGUAGGUAUUAGCGAAUGCUGUCAAACAACCUUUAAUACUAUUUCAGUAUUUAAAGCAUAUAAUACAAUUAUAAAAAGAAAGGAGAUUCUCGAAAUAGCCACAGAAUUCUACAAAAAAUUAUAUAUGAAGCUGCCGGAACCAUCAAAUAACUGAAAGAAGUUCUCUGUUAGCGUUUAGUGACGAAAAAGAUGCAAUAAUAAUGGCUGACCGUGGAUUCAAUUGUGUCAUAGCAUAACAUAAUUAAUUAAUAUUAAAGAAGGAAUUGUAAAAUAAACGUCCAAAGUAA